UAUAAGUAUGCUGAGGAGUAUAGGUUCUUUUCUCAUCGCAUAGUUGUCAGCUUGGUGGUUUCUCCAUUCACAUUUAUGGCCCACAGGAAAAUGUCUGCGUCGCUCCUGGCGAUCUUCCUAUGUUCUUUGAUGGCGGCAUGUGAAGCUAUCCCUUGCAUUGAUGGAGACGGAAACGCCGGUAGCUGUUGGAGGCAAAUGGUGGCAGUGUGACGGCCUGUGCUGCAAGCGUCGCUGUACAUGUGUGGGCUCUGAAGCCACCUGUGGGCCCACCAUGUGUGCCUCACAGAUUCUUCCCUCUGGCUGCACCCUGGCUGACGAACCACAAGGUAGCAACUGCUGUCCAGUGACGUGUACCUAGUGAUCUUUACGAAACCUGAUCACAAUACCCCAGUGCAUUCAAAUCGCUUGUUCCGCAAACAUUUACUCAUUUUGAAUAAAUACAUGUACAUAUAUACAUGGACAAAUGUA